CCAAAGCUUGAAGCAUGUCUCUCUCAUGGCAGAUUCAUUUUUCCACCUGAGAAAACAAAAAUUGAGCUGAACCCACAAAUUCUAAGGUAAAAUUUAACACACCUGCAUUGAAAAGUUUGCUUUUUGAUUCUCAUUUCGUUCUCAUUUGUACGAAUUGUUCUUGCUCUGUUUUUCCAUUCCCUUGUCUGGAUUUCAGUUUUGAGAUGCAUAAAUCUAUCCUGCAUAAGGUUAGGGAGUACCCAUUUCUGUGUUUACCCUAUACAGCAGAAAUUUUAUUAUUCAUUUCUUGUGGUGAAAUUUGUGAUGAUUAAGUUGGAGAAUCUAAAUAGAUAUCAUUGGAGAAAUCACAAUGUUUAUGAAUGUAAAUCUUAAAUCUGUUACUUCUAUUAGUACUGUGGAACCUCUAAAAUACUUCAAUUUGGUUAAGAUUCAAUGUAGACAUUCUUGUAUUUCAAUGCCAAUGUCGAAGGCAAUAGCAAUGUCAGACCGAUCGUCCGCUUCUUGUAUGGUUACUAGAUUAGCUAGAGGUGUUCGAAGUGAAGCAGAAAAUGUACUGUUUGAUUAUCUACAUUAUACUAGAAAUUUACAAUUUUCAGAUGCAGAACAUAUAAGUAAAAACUCACCCACGUUUCUUAGAACGCUUUUAUCAAAGGUUAUUGAUAGUGAUGAAGAAAUUAGUAGGUCACUGGCGAGGUUUCUUCGUUAUAAUCCUAUUAAUGAAUUUGAACCGUUCUUUGAGAGUUUAGGCUUGGCAGCGUCAGAGGUUAACCCACUUCUUCCGCGUGAACUGAUGUUUCUAAGUGAUGAUUAUAUACUGCUUCAGAAUUAUCAUGUUCUUUGUAAUUAUGGAAUUCCUCGUUCUAAGAUUGGGAAGAUAUAUAAGCAAGUGAGGGAGAUAUUUGGGUAUGAUCAUGGGGUCUUGGCUGCGACAUUUCGUGGUUAUGAAGAGUUGGGACUGAGUAAACCUACUGUUAUUGCGCUAGUUACCUGUUGUCCUACACUUUUGGUUGGUGGUGUUAAUGGGGAUUUUGUUCGGUUUCAUACAAUGUUGAAUAGUUUGGGGAUUGAAACAAAUUGGGUUAAAGAGUAUUUGUCUGAUAAGAACACGUGUAGAUGGAAUAAAAUGGUUGGUGUGACAAGGUUUCUUGAAGAAAUGGGUUGUAGCAGGAAAGAAAUGAGAAUAUUGAUUGACAAGCAUCCUAGGUUUCUAUUUGAAGACUCUGGAAACAAGAUUUAUAUAUUGGUUGCGUUGUUGCUGAAGAUCGGUAUUUCAGCAGAAAACAUAUUGCUAUUGUUUCUUCAACAUCCUCAAAUUUUAGUUGGGAAUUAUGCUAAAAAUCUAUGGGGUGCGCUGCAUUUUCUGUCGGAGAUUAAGAUGGAAACUGAAGAUAUUGCUACAAUUAUCAGUAGUCAUGCACAUAUAUUGGGUUGUUCUUGUCUGAAGAAGAAACCUAGAACAGUUCUAUCGAACUUAAAAGUAGACCCAGAUAAGUUGUGUGAGAUCAUAAAGGAAGACCCUCCAAUGUUGGUUACUUUGGCUGGAAAAAAGAAAACUUCUCCCAAGAAGGCAUCGAAUGAUCUGGAGAAAACUACAUUCUUGUUGAGUAUUGGGUAUGUUGAGAAUUCAGAUGAGUUGGUGAAAGCUCUGACGCGGUUUCGUGGUAGAGGGGAUCAAUUACAAGAGAGAUUUGAUUGCUUGGUAAAUGCUGGACUAGACUUCCAUGAUGUCUGCAAGAUGAUCAAAGAUGCUCCACAAGUGCUGAAUCAGUCAAAGGAUGUUAUCGAGAUGAAGAUUAACCAUCUGGUGAAUGAUUUAUGUUACCCUGUGCAAGAUCUGGUAGCAUUUCCCAGAUACUUGUGUUAUGAUAUAGAGAGAAUCAAACUUAGGUUCUCAAUGUAUGUAUGGCUUAGAGAAAAAGGUGUGGUAGGAAAAAUGACUUUAAGUACGAUUCUUGUGAGCUCACAUGCACGUGUUAUAAAGUACUUAGUAAAUCUUCACUCAGAAGGACCAGCUGUUUGGGAAAGAUUAAAAAGAGAGUUGUCUUCAAAUUAGGUUUCUGAUCUUUCUCAUCGCAUUUGGCACAAUCCUCUUUGCCAUCUCUUGUUCAGGAUGUGUAGGAAUUUCUGCCAAAAAUCACUGUUGUUUAUAUCUUUACACUUUGUUAAUGGCGAUACUAAUAUUAUCCGAGAUUGGUCUUGGAGCUUUUGUAGCCUAUGAUCGCAGAUGGAAAGAGAGGAUACCGAAGGAUAAAACUGGGAAACUUAACUCAGGCUAUGCUUUCAUAGAAUCAUACUGGAAAAUAUUUAGAUGGGUUGCUCUUGGAGCAGUCAUUUUAGAGGUAUUAGCUCUACUGUUAUCUAUCGUUGUGCAAUUGUCCAGAACUCGGGCGUUUUACGAUAGCAGUGACGAAGAGUUUGACAGGUAUCAGCAGUUCCAAAGAAUGGUUCCUCCAAGGCAGGUUUACCCUGCCAGCAGAACACCUUCACCAACUAUUGGCAACAACCAGAAACAACCUGCAGUUCAAUUGGGCAGGGCUGCAGUAUGAAGUAGUACCAGCUUCAUAGUCUGAUUCACAAAAAUUUAAAUACAUUAGUCUAUCCAUAUAUGAUGUCAUAAACCGAUUAUUCAUCUUGUUUAAGAAAGCAAAAUCAUGAUUCCUAUUUCCAUAUUCACAGAAAUCCUAGUAAUUGCUCUUCAUACAGACAUAAAGAGGAAUGUAUCUGACAACAACUCACAAAAUUAAAUGAAAGAUGCACAUUUUUAA